UAGAUACCCUAUUAUUGGAAAUGUAAAAUUUUUGCUUGAGUAGUAAGAGUUAUGAUCUUGAAACUCAAAGAAUUUGGCGGUGUUUUAGUCUUUUCAGAGGAAUCUGUUCCGUUAAUGAUAAUACACGAUUUACUUUACUAUAUUUUGUAUAGUCAGUAUGUAUACCGCCGUCAUCAGUUUAUCUUAGGAGAGUUAAAAAUUUUCUUAAAUUUUAAUUAGAAUUUAUGUCAGGUCAAGGUGCAGCUUAUAAUAUAGUGGUGAUGGAUUACAAUAAAGUUUAUUUAAACGGAUUAUUAAAUGAAAAGUUAAUAUGAAGGUGGAUUUGGAAGUAAUUUUAUUCAAUUUUGUUAAUUUGAUUUUGGCUCUAAAAUAUGUACACAUCGCCCGUCGCUCUU
rnacentral:rRNA from 1 species